CUUGGCUAUGAGUGAGAGGUGAGGAGUUAACCCUAUAGUAAAGCCACCUCUUGGCUAUGAGUGAGAGGUGAGGAGUUAACCCUACAGUAAAGCCACCUCUUGGCUAUGAGUAAGAGGUGAGGAGUUAACCCUACAGUAAAGCCACCUCUUGGCUAUGAGUAAGAGGUGAGGAGUUAACCCUAUAGUAAAGCCACCUCUUGGCUAUGAGUGAGAGGUGAGGAGUUAACCCUAUAGUAAAGCCACCUCUUGGCUAUGAGUAAGAGGUGAGGAGUUAACCUACAGUAAAGCCACCUCUUGGCUAUGAGUGAGAGGUGAGGAGUUAACCCUAUAGUAAAGCCACCUCUUGGCUAUGAGUGAGAGGUGAGGAGUUAACCCUAUAGUAAAGCCACCUCUUGGCUAUGAGUGAGAGGUGAGGAGUUAACCCUAUAGUAAAGCCACCUCUUGGCUAUGAGUGAGAGGUGAGGAGUUAACCCUAUAGUAAAGCCACCUCUUGGCUAUGAGUAAGAAGUGAGGAGUUAACCUACAGUAAAGCCACCUCUUGGCUAUGAGUAAGAGGUGAGGAGUUAACCUACAGUAAAGCCACCUCUUGGCUAUGAGUGAGAGGUGAGAAGUUAACCCUACAGUAAAGCCACCUCUUGGCUAUGAGUGAGAGGUGAGAAGUUAACCCUACAGUAAAGCCACCUCUUGGCUAUGAGUAAGAGGUGAGGAGUUAACCCUAUAGUAAAGCCACCUCUUGGCUAUGAGUAAGAGGUGAGGAGUUAACCCUAUAGUAAAGCCACCUCUUGGCUAUGAGUGAGAGGUGAGGAGUUAACCCUACAGUAAAGCCACCUCUUGGCUAUGAGUGAGAGGUGAGGAGUUAACUUACAGUAAAGCCACCUCUUGGCUAUGAGUGAGAGGUGAGGAGUUAACCUACAGUAAAGCCACCUCUUGGCUAUGAGUAAGAGGUGAGGAGUUAACCCUAUAGUAAAGCCACCUCUUGGCUAUGAGUGAGAUGUUACAUGUUGGCCUCCAGGUUUAUAUUAGGUAUAAUGAAAAUAAGAAAACCAUGGUAUUGAAUACAGAGAUGGAUUACUGUAUACAUACUUGUGUACCAUUUUACAGGCUGUCAACUAAUGGAAUAUUUUUUCAACAAAUAUAAGAGUUUUUUUGCUAGUUUUGAGGCAAAAUAUAGGAGUUUUCCAAAUGAAAAUUGUUUCAUUAAAAGGCAUUGAUACUAAAAAUUCCUACCUUCACUUACUGUUUCUAUAUUAAUCAAUGAUUAAAAACUGCCUUAAAGUAGCCAUUUACUUCAACAGCAUCACAAUCCAGGCAGAGAGCUUCUGCAUAGCUCAUCAUCAUCUGAAUGGGUAUCUAAAAGGCCAAUAUCCUGCUGCACUGCCUUGCAAGGUGCCCAUACAGGUGAUAAAGAGAUGUACUGAAUCAUUUUCUGGUGGCUGGUGAUGUUGUUAAAGACUUAAGAAUUCUCUAACUUGUAAGAUCAAGAGGCCAAAAGCAAUAACAAAGAAAUAACUACAAUCUCUACAUUUAUCUGCGGCAAAUUUCCUGAAAAUAUAGGAAUAUUUUUCAAAAAAUAGGAACACGUAGGAAAUAUAGGUCUUUCAAAAUAUGUUUUUGAACCAAAAUAUUGGAAAAUAAAGGAAUAUAGGAAUUAUUUGACAGCCUGCAUUUUAUUAUGAAUUGUUACUGGUAAUAGCAUAGCAGUAUUUAACAUCUUUCAAGCAUCAGUGUGUAGGUAUUUCAAACUGUAUGAAAGUUAACUCAGUGAGAGUUGAAUGUUCCCUUAGUAUCUUAAUGUUACAGCUUCUAGAAUGUACGUUAAGUUGCUUCUGUAUUAGUCAGCUGUGUUUCUCAUGAAUCAUUUGUGAGACAUUCUUUUUGGUUGUGGUAGUAAUUAGCUAAAACAUCUAUCAUCUUUCCUAAAUACCAUGAACAUUUUUUAAUUUCCUUUUUUAAAAUGCUUGCCAGUUGAACAUAAACUAAAUAUGUUUUUAUUCAUUAUAAUAUAGUUGUAAACUGUGUUUUAUUUUAAAGAAUGUCUUCCAAUUUAAUUUCAUAUGAAGUAUCUUCUUGUCAAGUUUUUAGACUGAAAACGUGUUCAGUUUCAGUUGUGGUUCCUGUAUUACAUGAUUUGAAAGUUGGCCACUAAAAGCCAUGUUACUUCCUUGAUAUCUUUUUUUUAAAUGCAAAAUGUUAAAUCAUGUGUGCAUGUGGCAAAUUGAGGCAAACUUAACUUAUUGAUUUUUGUCAAGAUGUUUUAUACAAAUACUGAUAUACAUGCCACAACUGAUGUUUACAUUGAUUGUUUUAUAUAAUGCAUGGAUUAAAUCAAAAUGCUACUUCAGAUCAAUAAAUUUUUAUAAUAAAA